GAGAGAGAGAGAGAGAGAGACGAAGGGGGAUCAAAACGUACGUUAAUGGCGGCCUACGAUACUUAUGAUCUGAGUUUUUCCAAGGCUUAAUCUCCAACAUGUUUUUGUUUCUCUGUUGUUCGAUCGGUUUCCAUAUAAUCUUUGUUAUUUGUUGAUUGAUUAUCGGAACCGAUCGAUGAUGGCUUGAAUUGUACGUAAUUAUGCGUUUGGCGGAGUUCAUUGGAGUCAGCGGUUCAUCGAUCAGUUCCUUUAACUUGAAGAACAAACAUAUGAACAAGAGAGAGCGUAAAAGAGGAAUCGAUCGAUAAACCUCUGCAUCCAGUGUCCACCCCUGCCUUAUUUCUCAUCAUUCUGUUGAUAAUAUUUGCAGUUUGAUUUGUUUUUCAACAAAC